AUCCCACCCUUGGCUUCCCUCUUCCCUUCCAUCACCCUCUCUGUGUCUCUCAGGUCUUGUGGAGAAGGCUCCAUGUUCCAUGAACUCUUCUCGAGUCUGUGAGUGUCAACCUGGCACUUACUGCAAAACGCCAGGUGUCAAUUCUUGUGCCCGCUGUUCUCUACACUCCCGCUGUUCUGGAGGCGAGGUCGUCAAGGUCCCAGGCACAGCAGAGAAGGACACCGUCUGUGAACUGCCUUCCUCAGGACCUGGCCCUGAUUGCUCCAAUCCAGAUGACUGCAAGACACUUACUAGCCAUGCCACUCCUCAGGCCACACCUACUUUGAAGACCUCAGCCACUGACAGUAUGAGGAGCUUGACAACGACAGGGAGCACCGGCCUUGUGCAGGAAGAUGCUACUGAGCUGUUGAAGGUCCCAGAGUUUCCCUCUUCCCAGGCAAGGGAGCCCAGUCCAGACCCAGAUAAGGCAGAGAUGAAUAUGAACUUGAAACUGCCAUCUCCAGGGACUCUUCCUGACUUCAGCACCUCAGGAAACAGUGAGGAGCCUGCCAGUACCGCCUCCACCCUGAGCCUCCUGGUAGAUGUGCAGACCAGCAGCAGGAUGCAGCCCACCUCUCCCUUGUCCACAGGAACACCAUUUCUGGAUCCAGGGCCCAUGCUCUUCUGGGUGGCCAUGGUGAUUCUGCUGCUUGGCUCCAGCACCUUCUUCCUGUGUUACUGGAAGGCCUGCAGGAGGCGGAUCCAGCAGAGUAAGUGUGCAUGUGUCUUGGGGUCCCCUAGGGAGGUGGCUGCUUUAUGUUGGCCUUGCCUAGGUCCUGCCCUGCCUGUCCCUAACCUGCUGCUCACCCCACUAAAGCUCCACUCCUGGUAUCUUUGCAGAGCUCCACCUGGAAAACCUAGCCCAGACCUUCCAGCCGAAGAUGGAGCAGGUGGGUGAGUAUCUGGUAGUGCAAAGGGCAGCCUGGACAGGUGGGUGACCAUCAUAGGCUGGGGCUGGGUAGACUCACACCAAAACACUGUCCACCAAGGGGGUUUUGAGUUGGAGAUGUUUCUUAAGUACGCGCUCGUACCUCCAAAGAGCUCCCCAGCGGAGGGGGUUUUUGUAUUUUGAUGGUUUCAAGCUUCUUUCCAUGAGCUGCCAGGCAGGGCUUAUUGAAACCAGUGUUUGCUUUCUUGACAUUUCUCUAGUAUUAGAGUUUCCAUUGCCGUCAGUUAAUUUUUUUUUUCUCUCCAAACAUUCGUGAGAACAGUUUUGUUAUAACAAGAAAGACAGAAAAAAAAAAAGAUUAAAAAAACAAAACAAAAAAACACCUGAAGAAGCUGGGCUUACAGGUAACUGAGUGAGUCUGGGGUCAAUGAUUGUGUCUGAGCCUGGUUCUGGACCUCUGGCUUCCAGUGGGUCCCUUGAUGUCUGGGUUUCAAGGACUGAAAUGAGAGAAGGUUUAAAUCAGGGUGAGCACACAGGGACCAGGUGACCAUAUCCUAGGCAAGGUUGGGCAUGGCCUAGG
rnacentral:lncRNA from 1 species